rnacentral:rRNA from 1 species
AAGGGGGCUCCGGCUCCCGCUAUCGGAUGAGCCUAUGUCGGAUUAGCUAGUUGGUGAGGUAAAGGCUCACCAAGGCAACGAUCCGUAGCUGGUCUGAGAGGAUGAUCAGCCACAUCGGGACUGAGACACGGCCCGAACUCCUACGGGAGGCAGCAGUGGGGAAUAUUGGACAAUGGGGGCAACCCUGAUCCAGCCAUGCCGCGUGUGUGAAGAAGGCCCUCGGGUUGUAAAGCACUUUCAGCGAGGAAGAACGCCUAGCGGUUAAUACCCGCUAGGAAAGACAUCACUCGCAGAAGAAGCACCGGCUAACUCCGUGCCAGCAGCCGCGGUAAUACGGAGGGUGCAAGCGUUAAUCGGAAUUACUGGGCGUAAAGCGCGCGUAGGUGGCUUGAUAAGCCGGUUGUGAAAGCCCCGGGCUCAACCUGGGAACGGCAUCCGGAACUGUCAAGCUAGAGUGCAGGAGAGGAAGGUAGAAUUCCCGGUGUAGCGGUGAAAUGCGUAGAGAUCGGGAGGAAUACCAGUGGCGAAGGCGGCCUUCUGGACUGACACUGACACUGAGG